rnacentral:ribozyme from 1 species
ACAAUGGAGAAAAAGAGCUUUUGUUUUGUUUUUGUUUUUCUGUUUCUUUCGGUACUCAUCCUUUUGUUUUUCUUCCCUCCAUGUGUGAAAAACAUAACAAAUAAUAAAAACGAUGGUAUACACAUGGGCUCUUUCUUGCAUACAAACAAAGAAUUUGGACAACAGAAAAAGAAAUUAAUUUCUUUAUCGAUCUCGGUAUUACAAGAC